AGUCGAACGGCAGCACGGGCAGCAAUCCUGGUGGCGAGUGGCGAACGGCGUGAGUAAUACAUCGGAACGUGCCCAAUCGUGGGGGAUAACGCAGCGAAAGCUGUGCUAAUACCGCAUACGAUCUACGGAUGAAAGCAGGGGAUCGCAAGACCUUGCGCGAAUGGAGCGGCCGAUGGCAGAUUAGGUAGUUGGUGAGGUAAAGGCUCACCAAGCCUUCGAUCUGUAGCUGGUCUGAGAGGACGACCAGCCACACUGGGACUGAGACACGGCCCAGACUCCUACGGGAGGCAGCAGUGGGGAAUUUUGGACAAUGGGCGAAAGCCUGAUCCAGCCAUGCCGCGUGCAGGAUGAAGGCCUUCGGGUUGUAAACUGCUUUUGUACGGAACGAAACGGCCUUUUCUAAUAAAGAGGGCUAAUGACGGUACCGUAAGAAUAAGCACCGGCUAACUACGUGCCAGCAGCCGCGGUAAUACGUAGGGUGCAAGCGUUAAUCGGAAUUACUGGGCGUAAAGCGUGCGCAGGCGGUUAUGUAAGACAGUUGUGAAAUCCCCGGGCUCAACCUGGGAACUGCAUCUGUGACUGCAUAGCUAGAGUACGGUAGAGGGGGAUGGAAUUCCGCGUGUAGCAGUGAAAUGCGUAAGAUAUGCGGAGGAACACCGAUGGCGAAGGCAAUCCCCCUGGACCCUGUACUGACGCUCCUGCACGAAAGAG
rnacentral:rRNA from 1 species